CCUACGGGGGGCAGCAGUGAGGAAUAUUGGUCAAUGGGCGAGAGCCUGAACCAGCCAAGUAGCGUGAGGGAUGACUGUCCUACGGGUUGUAAACUUCUUUUGUAAGGGAAUAAAGUGAGGCACGUGUGCCUUUUUGUAUGUACUUUAUGAACAAGGAUCGGCUAACUCCGUGCCAGCAGCCGCGGUAAUACGGAGGAUCCGAGCGUUAUCCGGAUUUAUGGGGUUUAAAGGGAGCGUAGAUGGGUUGUUAAGUCAGUUGUGAAAGUUUGCGGCUCAACCGUAAAAUUGCAAUUGAUACUGGCAGCCUUGAGUACAGGUGAGGUAGGCGGAAUUCGUGGUGUAGCGGUGAAAUGCUUAGAUAUCACGAAGAACUCCGAUUGCGAAGGCAGCUUACUAAACUGCCACUGACACUGAUGCUCGAAAGUGUGGGUAUCAAACAGGAUUAGAUACCCCUGUAGUC
rnacentral:rRNA from 1 species